rnacentral:misc_RNA from 1 species
UUUCCGUAGGUGAACCUGCGGAAGGAUCAUUCAUAAUAAGUGUUUAAUGGCACUUUUUUAAAUCCAUAUCCACCUUGUGUGCAAUGUCAGGGUUGAUUUUUCUCUCGAGAGGAUCAACCCCAAACAUCAACUAUAUCUCAACUCUUUGUCUGAAAAAUUUUAUGAAUAAAACAAUUCAAAAUACAACUUUCAACAACGGAUCUCUUGGCUCUC